rnacentral:lncRNA from 1 species
AUGCAAGGAAAUUGCUUUCAAGGCAGAGUCACUCCUUUAAUGCGGGCAACAUCAGUUGCACCACAGAGAUGUCUAGAAUUAAUCAAAUUCACCCAGCAAGUCCUGACACUUGAUGGCCUAAUUAGAGUGAUUAUGGGCAGAGUGGACACUGCACUCCCUGGCCACAGCAGAGAGCUGGCCUGGAAGAGGGGCAACCAGGACAGAAUCCGGCACCCCGACCAGGACAAGAACCCGGUGUGCCGGCGCCGCAAGGCGGAGGAUUAGCCUAGUGAGCCAUGGUGCCGGCCAACAAUAUGAUCUUUCAUUUGGAAAACCUAAAAUUAAAUGAUGAGUAUUUUGCAUUUUUUGCAACAGUGUAGUUUUUAUUUAGUUUCAUUAUUUUUAAGGAAGUAAUCCCUUGAAUAUACAACUAAAUAUUUUGAAAUAUUUUGGUUUAUGGGAUUACUCAUAUUUGUAUUCAUAAAUCAGAAAAGAAAAAUUACAAUUGAGGAGAAACUUCCAGUAAUAGGCCAGGAGGCACUACUCUUCUCUCUCUACAUCAUUUUAUGGAUUUGAAUAUUAUCUCUGUGAGAGAACUUUCUCAAUAAUAGUUUAGCUCCAGGCAAUCCUGCAAACUUGAGACUAUGUAGCUAACAGCUUAAUGAACACAUCCACUUGUUGUCUGAUAGCCAUUUCACACAUAACAUGUCCCAAGGUGAACCCAUGUUUGUUCCUGUUCUCCAACUUGCUCUAAAUAUGCUCUUCCUGCACCUUUUGUUAUUGUACUUGUAAGGCUCUUUUGCCCACAGCUCAGACCAAGGAUUUUGGAGUCAAUAAUGACCCCUGUCUUUCUCCAACACCCCAUAAGCCGCCCUCGGCAUCCUUUGCUUUUCAAUUCAUUUUGACCCACUUGAGUAUCAAUUUGUUAUGAUUCAACCUAACUUAUCCAAAAGCCAACUUAUUCCUAUCUCCAUUAUGAUUUCCCUUGUUCAAACUGUUGUGUGAUCUAGUGCAACAUCUGUGUAACUGAAUUCCACCUGGGUAGUUCAGAGUGAUCCUUUUAUAAUAUACACCUGCUCAUCUCAUGCCUCCACCCUAAACCCUCACUGGUUUCCCAUUUUACCCACCAUAAAAGACAAAGACCUGGCUGGCACCAUGGCUCACUAGGCUAAUUCUCCGCCUUGCGGCGCUGGCGCACCGGGUUCUAGUCCCGGUUAGGGCACCGGAUUCUGUCCCAGUUGCCCCUCUUCCAGGCCAGCUCUCUGCUGUGGCCAGGGAGUGCAUG